rnacentral:rRNA from 1 species
CUACGGGACGCUGCAGUGAGGAAUUUUGCGCAAUGGGCGAAAGCCUGCCGCAGCAACGCCGCGUGAGUGAUGAAGGCCUUCGGGUCGUAAAGCUCUGUCAAGUGGGAAGAACCUAUGUAAUGUUAAUAUCAUUAUAUACUGACGGUACCACUGAAGGAAGCACCGGCUAACUCCGUGCCAGCAGCCGCGGUAAUACGGGGGGUGCAAGCGUUAUUCGGAAUCAUUGGGCGUAAAGGGCACGUAGGCGGCCUGGUAAGUCAGAGGUGAAAGCCCGGGGCUUAACCCCGGAAGUGCAUUUGAUACUGUCAGGCUUGAGUAUGGGAGAGGGAAGUGGAAUUCCUGGUGUAGAGGUGAAAUUCGUAGAUAUCAGGAGGAACACCGGUGGCGAAGGCGACUUCCUGGACCAAUACUGACGCUGAGGUGCGAAGGCGUGGGUAGCAAACAGGAUUAGAUACCCGUGUAGUC